CAUUUGUUCGCUGUGUGCAAGUUUCCCUCAACAACGAGAAAGAGAGGUUCCGCUGCCGGGCAGUGACGGUGAGGGAGCUUGUCCGUGUCGCGUCACCAAACCUCGGCGCGCCCUUAGCACUGCUGGUGUUCUGUGUUGGCGGGCAGUGGGUUACAGCAGGUGUCGACGACGUGAGUGUUGUCGCCGGGAGAGUGUUCAACACAGCCGUGCUUUGGACAUCCUAGUACUUGCCUGUGCACGUGGCGUGAAACGGACCAAGCCACCUCGCCGAUCGUCGAAGACCGUGCGAAGGUUCGCCAUGGAGGGAGAAGCUGGUAAGGGCGUCCGAUUGGAGAAGGGUCGUCUCGGGCUCCGG
rnacentral:lncRNA from 7 species